rnacentral:rRNA from 1 species
ACGCUCGACACCUACGGAGGCAGCAGUGGGGGAUAUUGCACAAUGGGGGAAACCCUGAUGCAGCGACGCCGCGUGAAGGAAGAAGGCCUUCGGGUUGUAAACUUCUGUCGUACGGGACGAUAAUGACGGUACCGUACAAGAAAGCCACGGCUAACUACGUGCUAGCAGCCGCGGUAAUCUGAGCGGGCUGGCAAGGC